CUACGGGCGGCACCAGCAGGGAAUUUUGCACAAUGGGCGCAAGCCUGAUGCAGCGACGCCGCGUGGGGGAUGAAUGCCUUCGGGUUGUAAACCCCUUUCAGGAGGGACGAAGCGAAAGUGACGGUACCUCCAGAAGAAGCCCCGGCCAACUACGUGCCAGCAGCCGCGGUAAUACGUAGGGGGCGAGCGUUGUCCGGAUUUAUUGGGCGUAAAGAGCUCGUAGGCGGCUCAACAAGUCGGCCGUGAAAGCCUGAGGCUCAACCUCAGGACGCCGGUCGAAACUGUUGUGGCUAGGGUUCGGUAGAGGAGAGUGGAAUUCCCGGUGUAGCGGUGAAAUGCGCAGAUAUCGGGAGGAACACCAGUAGCGAAGGCGGCUCUCUGGGCCGACACCGACGCUGAGGAGCGAAAGCUAGGGGAGCAAACAGGAUUAGAUACCCGGGUAGUC
rnacentral:rRNA from 1 species